rnacentral:rRNA from 1 species
GAUGAACGCUGGCGGCGUGCCUAACACAUGCAAGUCGAACGGAGUUAUUAUUAUGAAGUUUUCGGAUGGAUUAAUAAUAACUUAGUGGCGGACGGGUGAGUAACGCGUGGGUAACCUGCCUCAUACAGGGGGAUAACAGUUGGAAACGGCUGCUAAAACCGCAUAACAUUGCGAUGUCGCAUGACAAUGCAAUUAAAUAUUUAUAGGUAUGAGAUGGGCCCGCGUCUGAUUAGCUAGUUGGUGGGGUAAUGGCCUACCAAGGCGACGAUCAGUAGCCGGCUUGAGAGAGUGACCGGCCACAUUGGGACUGAGACACGGCCCAAACUCCUACGGGAGGCAGCAGUGGGGAAUAUUGCACAAUGGGGGAAACCCUGAUGCAGCGACGCCGCGUGAGUGAAGAAGUAUUUCGGUAUGUAAAGCUCUAUCAGCAGGGAAGAAAAUGAUGGUACCUGACUAAGAAGCCCCGGCUAACUACGUGCCAGCCGCCGCGGUAA